UUGAGAGAAGCCAUGGCGGCAGUGAAACUCGGUAAAAGGAGAUGAAAUUGAUACAGUGAUUGAAGUCUGGAUCGAACAAAGAGAGAAAAACUCGAUGCUGAUGCCAUUGAUUUCUGCUGCUGCUUAAUAGGGAAACUCAUAUUUGAUGAGUGUUUGAUUGAAUUGCAAAUGGAGAUCGAAGAAUUGGACCUGAGAAGAGGGGUUGUGUUUGAAUCAGUGAAGAAAAGAGAGUUGGGUUCGAUUGUGUGAGUUCGAAAAUGGGUUUUAGAUGGAUUCUGAAUUGAGGAUGAAAUUGAAGUUGGUGGUAUACAUUAAGGGUUUGCUUCUGAUCUAGGAACUAGGGAUUCUGUAGUGAUUUUGAGAUGAAAUGGAUGAAGAAGAGAAGAUCCCUCUGAAAUAGAAGCUAGGGUUUGAGGAAGCUUCAGUGAAUUGAGGGUUUGAAGCUGGAAUUUGGGUUUGGCUUGAAAUGGAAGUGGUGAACAAGACUGAGAUAGAUUCUUUGCUGGUGAUUGAGAUGUUGCUGCUGCAGGAAGGAAAUGUGCAGCUACAGAAUGAAACUAGAUGUAUGCUUAGGAUUGAUUGAAUGUGAUUGCACAUUACAAGCAGGGAGGAGCUACAGAAUGGAUGCCACUGAAGAUUUUGCAGCUGAAUGUUGGGUUAUGCAGUGACUGGUGCAGGAGUAAUUGACAGAUGUAUGUUUUAGGUUCAAGGGCAUUGCAGGUGGUGGAUGUAGCUCAGGUUGCAAGAUAUUGAUUCAUGGGUUUGAGCUGGGUGUUGGUCAAGGAACUGAGCUAUGAGUCUGGUGUAUGGGUUUGGUUUGAGCUCAAAUAGGAGGUGCUAGUAAUGCAAGGAGAUACAGAUGGUGGAAUUGACAGGGUUGAAUGCUUUGUGUUUGAAUCAAGAUUGCAGAGAAGAAUUGCAGUCAAGGGCUGAGUUGGGAGGCAUGAACUGAGAUGGGUUUCUGGUGGAAUUACAGGAGAUUGAGUUGGUGUUUGAACUCAGGUGAAGAAAAAGUCGUAGUUGCUGCUGCAGUGCAAGACUCAGGAAAUGGUUCUGAUGGGUAUUUAGACGCUGUCAAGGAAGAAUUGUUGCUGCCGUUCAAAUUGCAAAAACGAAGCUGCAGUCGUAGGGAUUCUGAUGCGAUGCGAUGCUGCGGGUAACCUGAAUUCGAGAAAUGAGCUGCAGCUGAGAAUGGCAGGUGCUGUGGUGAUGGUUGUUGAUGCAAAGAAAGCUAAUGCAAGAGCAGAAUGCGCUACAGGGAGUUGAUAUGAAGCUGCGUCUGAAGUUUAGUGGUGAUUGCGGCUUGAUACUGUAGAGUGGCGAGAAGGAAUGAGCAUGGGAAUGUCUGUGUACAGACUGGUGGUUGUGCUGUUAUACAAGAAGAGUGCAGCUGAUACUCAAGAAGCUGGUUGUGCAGAUUACAAAGUCUUUGUGUUGGAAUUUGGUCCGAGAUGAAGUGGGGUGUUCUGGUGUCUUGGUUGAUGCUGCUGAUGUUAUUAUGUUGUCAUAUCCUGGCCUUGUGUGGAUGGAUUGCAAUGGAUUUCUACGAUGGAGUUCCUGUUGAACUGAAAUGGUGGGUGAUUGCACGUGGCCUAACUGAGGUGAAACUGAGCUGAAAAGAAGCAUUGCAGGCAUUUGAGCACUGCAGUAAGGAGUUGCUGGAGCUGUUAACUAAGCAGUACAUUAUGUGCUUAAAAGUUCAAAUUUCAGAUGAAUAGUGCUGUGUGGUUGGAUGGUUUGAUGUUGGUUGAGAGAAGAAUACGAAGACUUGUUGCAAUUGAUGGUUAACUGAGUUGAGACGGUCGAGAAGCGCAAUGGAAAGUGAGCUGCAGAUGGAAAUGAUGAUUGCAGCUGAACUGAAGUAGCAAUGGGUAUUAUUGUGUUGUUUGUUUUGGAGUUGUAAAGCUACAGAAUUGUAGUUGGCUAUGUUUACAGCCAACAAUGAAAUGGUUAUGAUGGUGAGUUGCAGGUGCAGGCUGAGAAUGGAAGUUAGUGUUGUUAAUAGUUUGGCAGUGGUGAAUAUUGUGGUUACGAAGCAGUGAUUCUAGUGCCAUUUCACUACAGUUACAGGCAAGUAGGCAUUGAUGCCGUGGAGGUUAAAUGAAUGGAGACGAGCUCAUUACUUUGGGCUCCAAAUCCUCUGUUACCAUAUCCCUCUAUUCCACUGUUCCAGCCAAUCUCCAACAGCCACUUGUCUCCAUUUCUACUACCUCCGUUAAUAGAUUCUGGCGUGAUUACUUGCCCAAAUUAACGGAUUUUGUAACAGAAAAAUAAGGAAAGGAAAUAUUUAAUUAUCCAUUUAUCUUUUUUCAUCUACCACUACCAAAAUCAUAUCAUCGGCUUCUAACAAACCCGUAAAAAAAAGAAGAAGAAGUUGCGUUUAGUUUUGUUCAUCAUGGAGCAGACCUUGAUUUCUGAUGAUGAAUGUGUUGAAGUUGGAUCUUGCAUACGCCGUAGAUUGGAGUUUGAUAAUGAUAUAGAUCUAAAUUUUUCUGCACAAGAAGAAACUUACGAUGAAAUGGUUGGUCCAGUAAAUUUUAGCGAGCGUGUUAAUUUGGUUCACUCUAAAAUCCGGAAGGAACAAGUUCCAGUAACGACACCCAACUGUCUUGGAUGGACUCUUCCAGAUAGAGAACUUGAUUCAUCUUCUAAUGUUCUUGCAUUUGAAAUAAUUAAUUAAUGGUUUUCACCCUUUUCAUGUGCAUAUUUUAAUUGUAGGAACAAGCACAGUUACAAGGAGCACAAACUUUACAGAACUCAGAUCCUCAAGAGAAUCCAUUGGAGUUACAUUAUAGAUGAAGUUCUUUAUUUAACUUCUUCUGUUAUCAAUAUAUAGACAUAAAAGAUCAUUCGCUAAGAAACUUGAUACAGUUUUUAUAUGUACUUGCGGCUCCUUUUUUUUUUUUUUUUUUUGGUGAGUGAAUCCCAGUUGGUGGUGGUUUAAUCAGACUUCACUGUGGAUAUUAUGCCAAUGACAGCACUAUAACUCAAGGCAGAGUUCUAAAUGUGAAA